CCUACGGGUGGCAGCAGUGAGGAAUAUUGGUCAAUGGCCGGAAGGCUGAACCAGCCAAGCCGCGUGAAGGAUGAAGGCGCCAUGCAUUGUAAACUUCUUUUGUCUAGGGAUAAACUCAGGUACGUGAGCCUGACUGAGGGUACUUGAAGAAAAAGCAUCGGCUAACUCCGUGCCAGCGGCCGCGGUAAUACGGAGGAUCCGAGCGUUAUCCGGAUUUAUUGGGUUUAAAGGGUGCGUUGGCGGGCUGUUAAGUUCGCGGUAAAAGCCCGGGGCCCAACCCCGGAAGUGCCUUUGAUACUGGCUGGCUGGAGUGGUGGAGAGGUAGGCGGAAUGCGUGGUGUAGCGGUGAAAUGCUUAGAUAUUACGCAGAACUCCGAUUGCGAAGGCAGCUUACCGGCCGGGAUCUGACGCUGAGGCACGAAAGCGUGGGUAUCAAACAGGAUUAGAUACCCCGGUAGUC
rnacentral:rRNA from 1 species